rnacentral:rRNA from 1 species
AUUGAACGCUGGCGGCAGGCCUAACACAUGCAAGUCGAGCGGAUGAAGGGAGCUUGCUCCUGGAUUCAGCGGCGGACGGGUGAGUAAUUCCUAGGAAUCUGCCUGGUAGUGGGGGAUAACGUCCGGAAACGGGCGCUAAUACCGCAUACGUCCUGAGGGAGAAAGUGGGGGAUCUUCGGACCUCACGCUAUCAGAUGAGCCUAGGUCGGAUUAGCUAGUUGGUGGGGUAAAGGCCUACCAAGGCGACGAUCCGUAACUGGUCUGAGAGGAUGAUCAGUCACACUGGAGCUGAGACACGGUCCAGACUCCUGCGGGAGGCAGCAGUGGGGAAUAUUAGACAAUGGGCGAAAGCCUGAUCCAGCCAUGCCGCGUGUGUGAAGAAGGUCUUCGGAUUGUAAAGCACGUUAAGUUGGGAGGAAGGGCAGUAAGUUAAUACCUUGCUGUUUUGACGUUACCAACAGAAUAAGCACCGGCUAACUUCGUG